GACAUAGAGGUAUCCUGCCACAGGACCCUCUGCUCCAUUCCCAAGUCCUGACUGGGAUAUAUUCUCCUUGGUUCCUAAAAUUCAUAUCUGUUGAUUAAUCUCUUAAACUCUGAUGCCUUCCUAAUUAAAUGUAGAUCUAAAUACCCAUAAGACAAUUUCAGCCAAUUAAUUUAUGGCUCUGUGAGUGCUCACUGGCCUUUACAAAUCCGUUCUGAGGACCUAUAGGAUGCCGAAUGUCACAAAGGUUCACUUUCCAGUUGCCCUCUUUGUAAUUCACAUCUCUUCUAGGCCAAGAAAAACCAGGAAAUUCUGUGGAUCCUCCACACACACUCCUUCACCUUCUUCACCAGCAGCUGGGAGGUGAUCAGGAGUGCAGCUGUCAAACUCACAGAUGCCGUUGUUCUCAAUUUGACCAGCCAAUAUGUGGAGUUAUUAGACAGAGAACAACUGACCACACGGCUGCAAGCACUUCGUCAAGAUCCGUGUGUUAGUGUCCAGAGAGCAGCUGAGGCUGCUUUGCAGACCCUCCUGAGAAGGUGUAAAGAGACAAGCAUUCCUCUGUAAGCCAUCAAGAAAUAAACUGCUGGCUUUUCCUAUAU
rnacentral:sRNA from 1 species